AUUGAACGCUGGCGGCAUGCCUUACACAUGCAAGUCGAACGGUAACGGGCCUUCGGGUGCCGACGAGUGGCGAACGGGUGAGUAAUGCAUCGGAACGUACCUUUCAGUGGGGGAUAACGUAGCGAAAGUUACGCUAAUACCGCAUAUUCUGUGAGCAGGAAAGCAGGGGAUCGCAAGACCUUGCGCUGAUUGAGCGGCCGAUGUCAGAUUAGCUAGUUGGUGAGGUAAAGGCUCACCAAGGCGACGAUCUGUAGCGGGUCUGAGAGGAUGAUCCGCCACACUGGAACUGAGACACGGUCCAGACUCCUACGGGAGGCAGCAGUGGGGAAUUUUGGACAAUGGGGGCAACCCUGAUCCAGCCAUGCCGCGUGAGUGAAGAAGGCCUUCGGUUGUAAGCUCUUCGGCUGGGAGAAAUACGCAUCUCCUAAUAACGGGUGGUGGAUGAGGUACCAGCAUAAGAAGCACCGGCUAACUACGUGCCAGAC
rnacentral:rRNA from 1 species